GGCAAGUCUCUCUCUACUCGCUGCCUGCUACUCGCUACAAGGGGACCGAUAAACCCACACUUCCUAAGAAGGUAAGAACCAGAGGCGAGUACUCACCAACAGAGAUGGAACCCACUAUGGAGCCGCAGAAUCCCAGAUUAGAGUCUAGUUUUUCUGGUGUUGAAGAAGAAGAAGAAGAGAAGCAUUUUCUUUCACAUUUUCUUCUCUUAAGCGACCAGGAGCAAGGAUAACUUCCUCAAUUAUAGUUCAAGCCUAUGUAUUUUUAUGGGUCUUCCUCGUAGCAAGGGUGACAUGAGACAACUUGUGGCAACAAUAUCACCAUCUUCUUUACCAAGCAAGUGGUCAAGUUUCCAAUUUAUUUGGCAUACUCAUGACUGAUUACUUGGCUAAUAGAGAUCAAUUUGUUAAACUUGUCAAGAAACCAAGAUUCAAGAAGAAAUUGAAAUCGAGCUUGGUGUGGACUCCAAGUGUACUUCGAAAGAAGAAUGUGAAAAACUGAAAGUGGAAGAUAUUAGUCAAGUGAUCCGGGAAGGAUUGGUAGGCUUGAGUUAGGUAAAAUCUUGUAUUUAGUUUUUAUUCUUCAUAGCAGAUGUUUUCGAUCAGUUGUAGGCCCAUGGUUUUUUAUCUAUUCGGAGGUUUUCCACAUUAAAAUCUUCUUCGAAGGUUUUCCACGUUUAAAAUAUGGUGUCAAUUGUUUUUUUCUCUCAUUUUACUCUUUGAUUUAUUUUCAGUUUUUGAUAUCAUUAGUUACUGGACAUAUAUGUUGAAUGAAAGAAAAAUGAGUUGAAGUAGGUGUGAUUAUCCAUUGAAUAUCUUGAAUAAUUUUUUUAUUCAUUUUUGUUAAUGAUAUCUUGUAGUUUUUGGCAACGAGUUAAGGAGAUUAUUGUUUUUAUGAAUCAAUCUUGGGGAGUGUUGAAGCAUUUGCAUGUGACUUGCAUUUGAAUUUGUUGGAAGAGUAUUGUUGCAUCCAUUUUUGUAUGUGAUAUUUACUUUGUGUUGCAAAGUGUUUGAAGAGGAAAGUUGAGAUUUGUAAAAGUUUAUAAGGUUAGGUAAUUUUUAGUGGGAGAUUUUUAAAAUGUUCAACAACACAUAUUCAAUCCUGUUCUCCUCCAUUAUUGAGAUUCAUCUUUCAAUUUGUAUUAGAAUGGGUUUUUUUUUAGUAAUUUAGUUUUUUUCUUUAACUUUUCUAAGGACAAUAAAAAAAAAAAAAAUCUAGAUAAAUAUUUUAUUUCUUGUCUUGAAAAUUUUCAAUCUGUUUAUUUCUUUUUGGACUUAAAUUUCAAAGCAAAUUACCUUUUUCCUUUUUUCCUAUUUUUUGGCCUUUUUUUUUCAACUUAUAUCUCUUAUUAGAUAUUUUCAUUUGAAUGAAAAAAAAAAAUCCAAAAUGCCCAAAAUGCUUAGCUCUUUUUCUCAUAAAGAAAGUGAGAAAAAACAAAUUUUUUUCAUCCUAAACUUUCGCACAAACUUAUUCAUAAAGUAUGUUUAUUUUUCUUGAAUCUUUUAAGUAUAUUUGGGAAUUUUCGGGUUCGGCUGAUAAACCCCUUAAACAUAGUUGUCCCUUUCCUUUUCCCAUUCAACAGCCAGUUAUUCUGAUAACAUUAACUUAAAGUCCUCAGCCUUCCGCAACGAGAAGACUCACCUGCAACAUCCCAAAACCCUAAACUCCCACCUCUGUGAAAGGAGUACAAAUUGAAUCUAUCAAAGUACACAUGCCCAAGUUGCUUUGUGCGCUCCUGUAGUCUUCCUUGUGUAAAAGCUCACAAGCAACACACUGGGGUGUACGGGCAAGAGCUAGCGGACCCAGUUCGUUCCCCUCUCUCAAUUUGACGAUAAUCUCCUCUUAUCUGGUAAUUUUUUCUCCCAAUUUUGUUCUUUAUUAUCAAAUUUCAAUACCCAUUUGGCUAUUCUGAAGGUUUGUCAUGAGUGGAUUGUGGUCACCAUUGAGGAAGUUUACUGUUUUUUUCUUUUCCUUGAAAUUUCGAUAAGUUUCACCAUUUUCAAGAUGUUCAGUAAUGGUGUAUUGUAAUUAGCUUGAGGAAUUUUGCUAUUUGAUCUUCAUAGUACAGUGUUUUCUUUUGCUGGUUUGUCCAUUCCUUUACAGGUAUGUUUUAAUUUAAUACAAUUUUUUUUAUAUCUUUUGGCUUCUUUGAAGGUUUUUCUGUGUAGUAUUACACGAUGUGUAAUUGGCUUGAGGAAGUUGAAUGUUUUGUCUUCAAAUUUCAAAGUUCGGAUACAAAUUUAGGGUUUCAAAGUUUUUUCAUGGGUUGAUUGUUAAUUUAUGUGAAGAAGGUUGCCACUUUUUCAUAUCAAUGUUAUUUAAAAAAUUAGUAGUCAAACUAGUUUUUGAACUCAAUGAAUAGUCUUUGGCCUUUAUUU